rnacentral:rRNA from 1 species
UACGUAGGGUGCGAGCGUUGUCCGGAAUUAUUGGGCGUAAAGAGCUUGUAGGCGGUUUGUCGCGUCUGUUGUGAAAAUCCGGGGCUCAACCCCGGACUUGCAGUGGGUACGGGCAGACUAGAGUGUGGUAGGGGAGACUGGAAUUCCUGGUGUAGCGGUGGAAUGCGCAGAUAUCAGGAGGAACACCGAUGGCGAAGGCAGGUCUCUGGGCCAUUACUGACGCUGAGAAGCGAAAGCAUGGGGAGCGAACAGG